CAGAACCAUCUGUAACUCCAGUUCCGAGGAUCUGUUGACUUCUCUGUAUUAUCCUUCCUUCUUUUCUUUUGUUCUUUCUUUUUAAAAAAAAAAAGAUUUAUUUAUUUAAUGUAUGUGAGUGAGUACACUGUAGCUGUCUUCAGUCACACCAGAAGAGGACAUCGGACCCCAUUACAGAUGGUUGUGAGCCACCAUGUGGCUGCUGGGAUUUGAACUCAGGACCUGUGGAAGAGCAGUCAGUGCUCUUAACCUCUGAGCCAUCGCUGCAGCCCCUUCCUUUCUUUUUUUAAUUUGUUUUUGAAAAGGGGUCUCACUGAGUAGCUCUGACUGGCCUGGAACUCACUAUGUAGGCUGGCCUUAAACCCUAAAGAUCUGCCUGCCUCUUCCUCUCAAGUGCUAGGAUUAAAGGUAUACCUUACCAAGCCUGGCUCCCAUAACCCUGUUUUAACCUCCCCAGGUAGGUACCAUACACACGGUGCACAUACAUACAUGCAGGCACUACACACACAAAUGAGAGAGAGAGGAGAGAGGAGAGAGAGAGAGAGGAGAGAGGAGAGGAGAGAGGAGAGAGAGAGGAGAGAGGAGAGAGAGAGAGGAGAGAGGAGAGAGAGAGGGGAGAGAGAGAGGAGAGGAGAGGAGAGGAGAGAGGAGAGAGAGAGGAGAGAGAGAGAAAGAGAGAGAGAGAGAGAGAGGAGAGAGAGGAGAGAGGAGAGAGAGAAAGGGGAGAGAGAGGAGAGGAGAGAAGAGAGAGAGAGAGGAGAGAGGGGAGAGAGAGAGAGAGAGAGAGAGAGAGAGAGAGAGAGAGAUCUCUGCAUCUGCCUGUAUUUUCUCGUGAGCCUGGGAAUCUGGCAUGCAGGUCUGUGAGUAUAUGCGGCCAUCUGUAGCUGCCUGUCUUACUAGAGCCUGUCUGCAUCCUCCUCCCCAUCCCUCCUCCUUCCCUAAGGUUUCCUUGCCUGUGUCUUUGGUGUGUUUCUGUGUGUAUGAGAACCUUACAAAACAAAGGUUGGGAGCGGGUAAGACAGCAGGCUGCAGCUGUUACUGCCAACUCUGCCACCCCAGGGCCCCAAGGGCGAGUCCUCAGCCGGUCUUCCACCUUCCUGCUGAAUUAAUAUUGCAUCGGCUGGGGUUUGGGGCUGGCCAAGCACCAGUCGGACUGCUCCCUCCUUCCAGGGAGAGUCUGCCCUUCUGUCUGUCUGGACUUUCUAAGGCAGAGAGCAAGGGGGUCUGCGGGCAAGUCAGAGCACCUUCAGAGGACCCGCAGUCUCUGCUGGUUUGAGGAGCCAUAGCUGGGGGUGUGAAGAGGACAGGAGGAAGACCAGGGAGGUGCAGGGAUGAGGUGUCCUCCCCCAUCUCAGCGCAGAGUUCACUCCUUAAAUGAAGCUUGUCACUGAAUGUCAGUCCCUUAGCAGCCCUGGCUUCGAGACUUUUUUUUGAAAUUUAAGACUGGGAACUCUGCCCUGGCUGAGUAUGCAUCCACCUUCCCUUCUUUGUCUAUCUGUGCAGCAACUGCUGCCUUGGCUUUGAUGGGGCGCAGGGAGGGGGUACAGUGCUUUAGGGGAAUGGCAGACUUGGACGAAUACACAGACUUCCCCAGCCACCUCAGAGUCCUCAUCCUAUGAAGGAUGGGGAAGCCCUGGUGAGCUCCCUGUCUCAGAUGGUCCCCUCCCUGGCAGUCUCUUUCUCUGUGCUGUGGAUUGGAUCUGAAAUGCUACUCUCCUUAGACUUAGACUUUGAAAGAUUGUUCCCUCACUGCUGCUGCUGUUCUAGAAGGGUGUGGAAUCUGAGGAUUUAGAGAGAAAGCAUCAAAGGUAAAUGCCCUCCAAUCCUAAAGACCCCCACAAGUUGUCCUCUGACAUCUUCGUGCACACCGUUCACACACACACACACACACACACACACAAUGUAUAUAUAUAUGUAUGCAUAUGUAUGUGUGUAUCUGUAUGUAUAUAUGUGUAUAUAUGUAUAUAUAUUAUACUAUCAAAUUAAUUAUUUUUGUCUUAAAAUUCUCAAAAUAUAUCCCAGGGAGGGAAAAUUAGGCAGCAGAGAACAAAAGGGUCAAAGUUGAGCUGGGUGUGGUUGUGAAUGCUCACAAUCGCAGCACUCAGGAGGCCGAGAAGCAGAGGCAGGAUGACGAGUGCAAGGCCAUCUUGAGCUACAGUGACUUCUGAGGAAGUCUGGGCUGUAACAAGGUCCUGAUUGAGAGAAAGUAAAAUGGGAUUCAGGGUGGGGCCAGGGUGGUGGAUCAGAGGAUAAAGGCACUGACGACCAAGCCUGCCAACCUGAAUUUGAGCUCCAGGACCUAUAUGGUAGAAAGAGAAAACUCACUUCCACAGAUUGUCCUUUGAGUGCCACAUGAGUGCAAUGGCAGGUCUGUACCCUAAUGCCCUCCUCCCCGAAUUAAAAGUAAAGUAAAACACUGGGUCUGGAGAGAUGACUUGCUGACAAGCUCAAGGACCUGAGUUCAGACCCCCAGCACCCAUAUAUAUAGUGAGGUGUCGCAGUUCACACCUGUAACACCAGUGCUUAGAAGUGGGAGGCAAGAGGCUCCCGAGGGCUCCCUGUCAGCCAAAUGAGUUCAGGUUUCAGUGAGAGGCCAUGUCUCAGAAACAAACGAUGUCCAUCUCUGGCGUCCACGUGCACCUCGGGUGCAAAUAUGCACCCCCCUACCACACACACACACACACACACACACACACACACACACACACACACGUAGGAUCGGCUGUAGAUGGCUCAGCUGUUAAAAGCUUUUUUUUGGUUCUUUUUUUCGGAGCUGGGGACCGAACCCAGGGCCUUGCGCUUCCUAGGUAAGCGCUCUACCACUGAACUAAAUCCCCAGCCCCUGUUAAAAGCUUUUAUUGCUCUGGUUCCCAGCACACGUCCUGGGUGACCCACAACUCUAGGGAAUCUGAUGCCCUCUUCUGGCCUCUUUGAGCACUGCACCCAUGUGUACCUAUACGCACGGAGACCCAGAAACACAUGUACCUACACGUAAAUCUUUUUUAAGAAGAGAGCGAGAUGGGAACGAGAGGGCAGUGUGGGGUAAAGAAGAGUAAAUAGAGGUUAGCCAGCUGCUUUAUUCAUUGCUGUAACCUGGGACCACUUCCGUCAAUCCUUGACAAGGCCUUAUAAACCAUGGCCCACACCCGAUCUCCCUCCGCCCCAUACCAUGCACCUUCUGUGUACACAUACAGGCACCUAGCGUGGGGACGCCCCCUCCAGGGAAUAUGCAGUGACAUCUCCCUUAAGGUCUGGAGUGCACACCUGGAUCCAUGUGUUCCCUUGGGGACAGAGCAGGCAGGGGAGGGGCGGUGGGGCUAGCAGCUGGGACUGCCUGGGAGUAUGUGACCCAGUUUCAUCUCCAGCAUCUGUCUGCUGGCAGAACAGAUUUUAGUCACCUGAGCUCACUGCACACUCCCGCACCCGACUCUACCACACACGUGACAAACUCACAAGCAUCAGACACGUGUCUUCCCUACACAGCACAUAUGUGGCUCUCACACACACGCUCCAACCGCGCUGCUGGUGUAUUCUCUCCCAGCCCCCCAAUUCCGCUUUCCUGUAUCAUGUCCAUGAAUUGUUUAGACCAUCUCCUCGAGUCCAAAAACUCAAGGCUCAGCACUGUACCACAUCCUUGUAGCCCCCUGCAUACAUGAUAACCCAGGUCUACGUGCAACGGGCAGCCACACGCAUGCGCAGUGCUCAUCCUCACAGCCGACUGCCGAUACACCUUACCACCAAGUGAGGAAUAUCCUAAAGACAGUCUCUUUUUAUUGUUUUCUUUUAUUACAUUUACUUAUUUAUUUGUUGGCUGUAUGCGUGUGGAAGCCAGAGGGCAACCUGUAGAACUGAGUUCUCUCCUUCCAGCUUGUCAAGUCGCCAGGCUCAGUGGCAACCAUCCCCUCACCCUACCCCCGCCCCACCGCCACGAGCUACCUUGCCAGCCCAGCUCCUCCUCUUAAGUUUCUGUUGAACGUUGUGCUCUUCGUUCAUCCUUGCAGGGAUGCACCCCGUGUUACUGGUGCAGAACUGAAGCUCAGAGAGGGGAAGCAAUGUUAUUAAAUCUUCAUUGUAAGUCGGAGUGUGGCCAUUCACACCUGUAAGCCCAGCACUCAAGAGAGGAGGCUGAAAGAUCGGCAUGAAUUAGAGGCCAACCUGGGCUAUAUUCUCUCUGUGUCUCUGUGUCUCUCUGUGUCUCUCUGUCUCUCUUUCUACACACACACACACACACACACACACACAAUGCAUGCAUGUGUGGGUGGGUGCAUGCGAACGCAGAUGGCUGGGGAGACCAGAAUAUGGCACUGGAUCCUCUGAAGCCACAGUCACAGGCAGUUGUGUACUGCCCAGUGUGGGUGCCACAAACCAAACUGUGGUCCUCAGAGGAGCAAGCUGCUGUGUGUCCUCAGUCUUUUACUUUGUUUACAAGGCAAGAUCUAAUGCUGAACUCGGAGAUCACACAGGGAUGAUCCUGUGUCCCCUUCCUUGGUGCUAAGAUUAGGGUGAGUGACACUCCUCAGAGGCCUCCCUCAACACUGGGAGGAAAAGCCAGACAAGGACUUUGCACGGUGCCCUUUCUAGAGUUUAUUCUAAAUGGACAGCAGUCCUGGUGUGGAGAGACCCUGAUGCCCCCGCUUCUGCUUCACCAGUACAAGAGCUACAGCUGCGGACCACCAUGCCUGCUUUUACCCUCUGCUGGGGAUGUAAGCCAGGGCUUUGUGAAUUCUCGGCAAGCAAUACCCACGGAGCCUUUUUUCUUUGUAAGUCAAUUACCUCAGAUAUUUUGUUACAGUGCUAGAAAUCUGCCCCAACACCCUGGAACAUAACACAUACAUACACACAGAUAUCAUAUGUAUACUUCAUACCACACACACACAUCACAUAUCAUACACACAUAGAUCACACACACAAGUAUCACUCAUUACACUCUCUCCCCCUACCCCCAAGCCCGUGAAAAGAGCAUUGGAGAACCCCCUGCCUGGCCCUAGCCAGGCGGCCUCCCUCUGGCUGGAACUGGAGCAGAGUUAACCUAAUUACCAUCCUGGGGCUGCUUGGUGCACAGCUCGGCUCCCAGCCUGGCUGGGAGCUUAUUAAAACCAGCAGGAGUCAGGGAGGGAGGAAGCCAGAGGAAAAAAGCUAUUUUUAGGUAGCAGGUGGGUUUGUAGCAGGGCUGGCGGUUGAGAGGGGAGGGGCUGGACAGUGUGGCGACGGGGCUGAGGUCAGGGCACAGGGUAAUCUGAAGAAGAUCUGUGGAAACUAAAUGGGGACCUCCCCAGGGAAGUGGGGAGGAGCCGAGAGUAGGAGAGAAAGGGACUUGGUUGGUUCUGAGAUCUUGGGGACCAAGGCAAACCACCCGCAAGAGUAUCUAGAGCAAGGACGAGUGGAAAUGACUCCAAAAUGUGCGGAAGACCUGAGUGUGGUUUGAUUGCCCACCACCUAACACUGAGAGCUCUGCAGACACACAGACAGGCAGACAUACACACGCAACAAGUCGUACAUACUAUCCCUUGCCUGAAGAGUGGAGCUGGUAACUGUACCUACCUUGGACAGUUGAUGAGGGUUAAAAGAAGCCUAUCUAGGGCUGGAGAAAUGGCUCAGCCAUUAAGAGCACUCUUCUGAGGAUUAGAGUUUCUCCCUGAGCACCCAAACUGUAGGAUUCACAACUGCCUGUAACUCCGCCUCCAAGGGAUCUGACUCCUUCUUCUGGCCUCUGUGGGUACUGCACCCACACAGGUGCAUGCAAGUAAAUUAAAAAAAAAAAAAAAAGCUUUGUCAAAAAAUAGAGGGCUGGAGAGAUGGCUCAGUGGUUAAGAGCACUAACUGUUCUUCCAGAAGCCCUGAGUUCAAAUCCCAGCAACCACAUGGUGGCUCACACCCAUCUGUAAUGAGAUCUGAUGCCCUCUUCUGGUGUGUCUGAAGACAGCUACAGUAUACUUAUAUAUAAUAAAUAAAUCUUUAAAAAAAAAAAAAGAAAGCGGUUAAGAGCACUGACUGCUCUUCCGGAGAUCCUGAGUUCAAAUCCCAGCAACCACGUGGUGGGAUCUGAUGCCCUCUUCUGAUGUGUCUGAUGACAGCUACAUUGUACUUAUAUAUAAUGAAUAAAUAAAUCCUCAAAAGGAAAAUUAUUCUGAAGCCAAAUGCGAGCCAACAUGGCCUAGUGACACAGAUCCAGGUUACUUCGAGUCCCAGGUUCCAGUGUGGAAACAGAUUGAGGGAAGAUUUUAGCAACGGGAUAAAGAAAGUUGUAAAUCUAGACACUUCUCCUAGACAUCAGGUAGGCGGUCACAGACAGGAAGGGAAACUGCACUGUGGGCAUCAGAUGCUGUCUGGAGGAAUUCUUAGCUUUGAGUUGGUGGAAGCUAAGGGUCUGCUUGCAUAUUCCAAAGCACUUUCCUAAUUGGCUAGAACAUAUUAGGUCACGCACAGAGGUAGGUAAUGAAAGGGUUAAAGCUAGCCUGACACGAGCUGCCUCUGGAAUUGUUAACCUUCUAGAUUCUCUACUUCGACCAGGUUCUGUUCUGUUGUGUCUUUCCGGGCAUUUACAAAUGCAAUUGUCCAGGGGUUACUUUGGGAAAGAGAUAUCUUUAAUUGUAAGAUUUUGACCUUGGGGUGUGUUAAUUACUUUCCUUAUUGCUAUGACAAAAGCAGCUUGGAGGAGGAAGUGGUGGCUUUGUCCCACAGUGUGAGUUUAUCCGGGGAAGGCAUGAGAGCAGGGGCGUGAGGCAGCAGGGACCUGAGGCAGCUGCUCACACAGCAUCCAGUCAGGAAGCAGCGAGAGACGACGCUUGUGUUCAGCUUGCUUCCCUGCAUCCCUUCCAGGACCUAAGACUGAGGGGCGCUGUCAGGGUGGGUUUUCUCUCCUCAGUUAAACCUGCCCUAGAGAUGCCCUGGUGGGCACAGCUGGAAACCAGAUACCACCAAGUUGCCAAUGGAGGAGUUUGCCCAUCAUAGGUGAUGGGAAGAUGAGGGUGAAUGAACUUAAAACCACUUCCAAGUCCUGGAUUUGAACCCCCUACAGGAACCAAACUGUAGCUCAGUGAGGUGAAGAGCUGCGUGGGUGCCCUGGAAUGGGAUAGUAGUUGCUCUCUGGACCCCCAAACUUCAGCUUGUUUUAAGGAGGAGUCCAUGGUGCCAUUAAGAUACUUGACUAAAGGACUGGAGAGAUGGCUCGGCAGUUAAGAGCACUGGCUGCUCUUCCAGAGGAUGCAGGUUCGGCUCCCAGCACUGAUAUGGCCGCCCACAACCUUCCAAGGGAAUUAGUGUCCUCUUCUGCCUCCAUGGGUACCACACACUCACGGUGCACACACACACAUGCAGGCCAAGCACUCAUACAUAUAAAUUAAAAAGAAACGAAGUCCUUUAGAAGAUUUAAUAAAGCUGGGUGUGGUGUUACGCCUCGGCACCCAGGAGACUGAGCUGGAAGGAUCCGUGUCUGCCCUGUAGUGACCCCCGUUAGAUGGCAUAACAGAAUGGAGAGGGUGACCUAGGCAGCUGGCUUUGGUUAGGUGUCUAUAGGGGUCCCCUUGUGUUAGAACACAGGCAGAGGAAGGAGACAACAGCUCCCCCUCCCUCUCUCUUAAGAUUUACUUAUCUGAGCUCCAUAGUGAAAUCCUGCCUCAAAAAUAAAACCCAGGAAGGGAGGAUGGAGAGGUGGCUCAGUGGUUAAGGGCACUUCUUACUGCUCUCACAGAGGACCCGAGUUCAGUUCCUUAGCGCUUACAACCACCUGUGACUCUAGCCCCAGGGGAUCUGACCCCUUCUUCUGCCCUUAAUAGACAUGCACACACUUACACCUUCCUGUCUCUACCCCCGCAACAUAUAAUUAGAAUAAACUCUGUCUUUAGAUGGCUACCGGAAGCACCUGGCUACGGACCAGCGGACUUAGGGAUCCUCCUGGUACUUUCAGCAGUCACUCGGUUACUAAAGGGGAUGCUGGGAAGAUCUACAGGCAAUGGCCUCAGACACAGCAGCCACGGGUGACUAGUGGGUUAGGAAAUGUCUCUAUGUCCCCAGUCGCUCAGCUCUCCUGGUGUAACUAUUUUCAAGAGGUUCUUCCCUUCUGGCAUCUGGUUCUGUCUGCCUUGUAGUGACCCCCGUUAGGUGGCAUAACAGAAUGGAGAGGGUGAAGAGAGAAUGUGACCUAGGCAGCUGGCUUUGGUUAGGUGUCUAUAGGGUCCUCUUGUGUUAGAACACAGGUAGAGGAAGGAGACAACAGUCUCUCUCUCUCUUCCUCUCUCUCUCUCUCUCUCUCCCUCCUUCUCCCUCUCCCUCUCUCUUGCCAUGGCUUUUUUUCUUGGUGGUGGGUAAGUGUAUAUGUCGUGAUGUAGCUGGUUUCUUUUCUCUUCCUGUUUAGGUUGAAACAAUGUCUCUAUAUGUAGCUCUGGCUGUCCUGGAACUAUGGAGAUCAGGCUGGCUUCCACCUCAGAGAUCUGCCUGCCUCUGCCUCCCAGUGCUGGGAUUAAAGGUUUAUACUCAUAGACUCACUACAAUAUCUGUUUCUAAUGCCAUUCUAACUGUAUACAAAUUCACUAAGUUGCAUGGACUUUGGGUCUAGUUGUGUGAUGUUAUUUACUUAAACGAUUUUUUUCUUUAAUAAUAAAGCCUAUACAAACAAAAGGCUAACCAGACCUGGCAGAUGGCUCAGUCUAGAGCACUGGUUAGUAAUGCGAGCAUGAGAGCCUCGGUUUGAUCUCCAGUAACAAUCUUUAAAAAAUAAAAAAAAAAAAUAGGGCCUGGAGCUAUCUCAGCCUUUGCCAGCAUUCCCGGGGCAGCCCUGAAAUAUGAGCAGCAACCAUCCACAACCAAGAAGUCUCUAGAUUUACUUAUUUUUAUGUAUAUGUGUACCAGUAUAGGACUUUUAAAAAAGAUUUAUGGGCUGGAGAGUUGGCUCAGCGGUUAAGAGCACUGGCUGCUCUUCUAGAGGUCCUGAGUUCGAUUCCCAGCAACCACAUGGUGGCUCACAGCCAUCUAUAGUAAGAUCUGGUGCCCUCGUCUGCAUAUAUAUGCAGAACACUGUGUAUGUAAUAAAUAAACAGAUCUAAAAAAAGUUUAAAAAAAGUUUUAUUUAUUUAUUUAUUUUUAUGUAUAUGAGUGCUGUUUUCAUGCACACCUGAAGAGGGAAUCAGGUUCCAUUACAGAUGGUUGUGAGCCACCCCAUGGUUGGGAGUUGAACUCAGAACAUCUGGAAGAGCAGCCAGUCCUUUUAACCACUGAGCCAUCUCUCCAGCCCCUUCCUGCACAGGUUUACGUGCACUGACUGAACGCAGGCUGUAAGAGGGCGUUGGGUCCUCCGGAACCGAAAUUAACAAUCAGUGCUAAGCUGCCAUGCAUGAGUUCUAGAAACUGAACUCAGGUCCUCUGGAAGAGCAGCAAACUGUCUUAUUGAUAACCCAAUGGCAGUUAUUUAAAGUAGGUUCCGGUGAUCUAUCUUGGGCCCAGAAUACAGGCACCAGACCCUGGUUCAGUAUAUAAAAUCUGCCUCAGAUGUCUGCAGAAGCGGCAGGGCAAGCCUGAGCCUGUUCCCUCUCCUGUCCCUCAGGUAGGUAGCUUUCUCCUACCCUGGGUUUGAAUAUCAGCCCCCUUUCUCUUUGGAUAUUAGCAUUGUCCUUGUCCGGUGUCCCCGGCAUUGGAGACAAGAAGACAAGGACAGUCUGGUCACUUCCUCAAACCUAUAGAGACUCAGAGCUUUGCUUUCCAACCCAGGAGCGUCUUUCUGUGGCCCUCCCUUUAUUGUUUGCUCUUACUCUGUCGGCUGGCGACUGUUCCCUCCCUUCUGCCUAGAUGAGACAAGACCAGACAGCACGACUUGCCUAAUCUGGCUCUAGAAUGCUAAUCUCACUCCCCAGUGACCUAGUCUCGCCUGGAAACUAGGCACAACAUCGGCCUCUCGCCCCCUCUUCUGGCCACAGAGGGAACUGCAGAGUCUGGGCCUGGAAGCCUGGGUUAGCCAUUCCGUUUUCCCACAGAGAACUCACUACACCGCUUUCCUUGUAAUUUUCCGAUGUAACCGUGGCUCCUCUCCCCUAACCUCAGCAAGCUUCUACAAUCCAUUUGUCCUCAUCCGGGUCCCCCACUGCCUCGGGAGCUGCUAAGGACCGGCUCUCGACUUGCAUGUGCUCACGGACACUCUAAUUGCCACCGCUGCCUUGCUUUCGUAGCCGGAAACAGGAGAUGGUCAAGAGGGGAGUUCACUGGACGUUCUACAAGAGCAGUUUUAGCUUCUAGCUGCUGAGCCAUUCCCUUAGCCCUUCCUGGUUUUCCACUGACCUCAGAGUUCCCUGAUUGGCUAGCAAGUGCCAGGAAUCCUCCUGUCUCUGUCCCAUCCUCAAUCUCCUCAGUGUUGUGGUUACAUGUGGAUAUGGCCACAUCUGGCUUUUUUUUUUUUUUUUUUUGUUUUUGUUUUUGUUUUUGUUCUUUUUUUCGGAGCUGGGGACCGAACCCAGGGCCUUGCGCUUCCUAGGUAAGCGCUCUACCACUGAGCUAAAUCCCCAGCCCCCACAUCUGGCUUUUUACGCAUGCCCUUCAAACUCAGGUCCUCCGUGCUUCACCCACUGAGCAUCUUCCCAAUGGAGCCGAUAGGUUCCUAAGAGAGUGGAAAUGGGGUUUUGAAAUGGACUCACUCUUCCCAAACCGCUCACAGCGGCCCCAUCGUUGACUCUCAGCCCUUCUGCUGUGCUCUAGCACAGCAACGUGCGUGCGGUGCUGGCCUUUGGCAGGGAGUCAUCUGGAGCUGGCUUUCCGGGAAUGCAAUCUAGAGACCACCCAAGUCAUAGCUACCAUGCAAAGAUGACCUUCCUCAUUGAACCUUGAGCACCUUUGGUCUGUGGCCUAACACAAAAUUGUGAAGUUAUUUAAAACAUUGAGUCAUCUCCCCCUUUUGCUAGGUUUAUAUUUGUGUGCAUGUGUGAACAUGUGUGUAUGUCCGUGUGUGCACUUGUAUGUGGAGGCCAGAGGUCAACUUCAGAUGUUCCUCAGAACAUCUAGUUGGUUUCGAGACAGUUUCUCUUAUGGGCCUGCCACUUACGGAUUUGGCCAGGCUGCCUGGCCUUGAGUUUUGGGGAUUCAAACUCAAGACCUUGUGCGUAUGUAGAACAUGUACUCUCUACCCAUUGAACUGUUGCCCUUAUGACUCUUUUUUUUUUUUUCGUUACUAGACUGUGAGACUUUUGAUCGUGAACUUUGUAGUUGGCAAGGUCCUGUCUCAGGGUCAGAAGUUUGAACACACUUGCUCCUUUGCUGCCUGAAAUGCUACUCCGUGCAGAGUUAGCCCAGCCCUCUCCCCUGUGAGUAGACUGCCAAGGAAGACUUAAGAUCCUUGCUCUGCCUAGAUAUCCAGAGGUGUCUUCUCUGGAGCCCUGGUGUACCAGGCCUUCGCCUUCAUUUCUCCUGCUAGUUCUUAGACCAGAGCUGUCAGGCAAGUCCUGACAGGCAGGAGCCAACACCAACAUGGCGGUGUAUACCUGUGCUUCCAGUACUCAGGUAAGAGCAGCAGGAUUUUGACAUCAAUUUGGACAACAUAGUGAGACUGUCAAAAAAGUAUGUAACAAGAGGAUAUAAAGGUAAUUCUUUUCCUACUUUUAAUUUUGCCAUGGCUUUUUUUUAAAAAAAAAAAGAUUUAUUUAUUUAUUAUAUAUAAGUACACUGUAGCUGUCAGACACACCAGAAGAUAUCAGAUCUCAUUACAGAUGGUUGUGAGCCACCAUGUGGUUGCUGGGAUUUGAACUCAGGACCUCUGGAAGAGCAGUCAGUGCUCUUAACCACUGAGCCAUCUCUCCAGCCCCUUGCCAUGGCUUUUUUCUUGGUGGCAGGUAAGUGUAUAUGUCGUGAUGCUUCAUAGCUGGUUUCUUUUCUCUUCCUGUUUAGGUUGAAACAAUGUCUCUAUAUGUAGCUCUGGCUGUCCUGGAACUAUGGAGAUCAGGCUGGCUUCCACCUCAGAGAUCUGCCUGCCUCUGCCUACCAGUGCUGGGAUUAAAGGCUUAUACUCAUAGCCUCACUACAACAUCUGUUUCUAAUGCCAUUCUAACUGUAUACAAAUUCACUAAGUUGUAUGGACUUUGGGUCUAGUUGUGUGAUGUUGUUAUUUACUUAAACAAUUUUUUCUUUAAUAAUAAAGCCUGUACAAACAAAAGGCUAACCAGACCUGGCAGAUGGCUCAGUCUAGAGCACUGGCUAGUAAUGCCAGCAUGAGAGCCUCGGUUUGAUCUCCAGUAACAAUCUUUAAAAAAUAAAAAAAAGGGGCUGGAGAGAUGGCUCAGAGGUUAAGAGCACUGACUGCUCUUCCAGAGGUCCUGAGUUCAAUCCCCAGCAACCACAUGGUGGCUCACAACCAUCUGUCAUGGGAUCUGAUGCCCUCUUCUGGUGUGUCUGAAGACAGCAACAGUGUGCUCACAUACAGGAAAUAAUUAAAUAAAUAAAUCUUUAAAAAAAAUAAAAAAAAAUAUAGGGCCUGGAGCUAUCUCAGCUUUUGCCAGCAUUCCUGGGGCAGCCCUGAAAUAUGAGCAGCGACCAUCCACAACCAAGAAGUCUCUAGACCUUAGCUUCAGCCUGUCAGGUGAAUGAAAGGAUGCGAAUUGUGAGUCAGAAGGGACGAGUUUUGUUUUGUUUUGUGUUUUUCCCCUCCUGGAGCAGGGCUGCACUAUGUAGGCUCAGGCUGACCAUGAACUCAUGGCACACCUCAGACCUUUUAUUUUUGGGGGAGGGGGGCAUUAGGAAUUGAACCUGAUUCAGUCUGUUCUCUGUUGCUGUGACAAACACCAUGGCCAAAAACAUCACAGGGAAGGAGAGUUUAUGUGGCUUACACUUCGAGGUCAUAAGCCAUCAUUUGAGGGAAGUCAAGGCAGGGACCCGAUAGAGGGCCUGCUUGUCAUUCCACAUAUUACUUCAGACCAAAGAACUCACUUCACAGGCAAACAAGGGCAGAAAGCUCACUGGCUUACAGUCCGUCAGAUUUCUAAGACUUCUUUUUUUUAUUUUGUUGUACAGGGUCUCACUCUGUAGACCAGGUUAGCCUGGAGCUCACAGUGAUCCACCUGCCCGUACCUGAGUGCUGGGAUUAAAGGCGUGCUGACAUGCCCAGCUGUUUACUGUCUGUAAGGCUACCCCUGCACCUCUGCUCACAGAAGCCAGAGGCAGUCAAACGAGUUAAGACAGUCGUGAACUGUCUGGUAUGUAUGCUGGGAACCAAACUAGGAGGUUCUAGAAUAGUACAGGCCCUAACCUGCUCUCUCUAGCCCCGGUGAGCUUUCCCGUUCACCGUAGGACCACCUGUCUAGGGAAUGCUGCUGCCCACAGUGGGCUGGGCCUCCCUACACCAAUUAUCAAGGCAGACUUGCCUGCAGGUACAUCUGGGCAAUGUAGAGGGAGGUAUCCAUUCCCUAAUUGGUUCUUGAUUGUGUCAAUAAAGGAGGCAGAAGUCAAUUGCUGGACAAAGGGAAAGAGUUGGGACUUCUGGGUCCCAGGAGAAGGGACAGAAAGAAAAAGGGUUUAGACCAGGUUUUGGAAAGAUCAAACAGCCAUGAAAGAUCUCGGGGGACUGGACAUGGCAGCCCCCAGCACUGGCGGUUGGCUGCAAUAAGUUAGCUGAUCAGAGCUCAGCAAUUAUGCUGUCUGCCUAGUUUUAAAAUAUUAAAACUGUAUAUAGUGUUUCCAUCCAUGGAGCAAAAGUGGGCAGGAGAAAGGGGGCAGCUGGGCAGUUAGCCAAUGGAGCUAGAACAGCAGCUUCUGGCGUUUUGGACAUGGGGGACAGCCAAUUGGCAGUAGGUGGAGCUCAGCUGAGAGCUAGGCCCUGGGCAAAUGAACUAGUUUUUUUUUUUUUUUUUUUUUUUUUAAAUUAUACGCAACAGGGCAAUCCUCAACUGAAAAACUCCCCCUUCAGGUGACUCUAGGCCGUGUCAAAGCAGGUUGAGCUAAGCAGGACGGAACCUAAGGGACAUGCUAGGAAGCCCUCUAGCUCAGCCAUGCUGCCAUCUGAGGCUACUGAGACGAGGCAGCUGAGCUUUACUCACUGCUCUAAUGCUGACAGGGUCUCUCCCUCAGCUGCCCGGGACUUUCAACUCUGUAGUGCAGGCAGGCCUUGGCCUUUAGACCCUCCUCCUCCAUAGAGUAGCUGGGGAGACAGGCAUGCACCGCUAGGCUUGGCUUAGACUUCCUUGAAGGUCUCUGCCUAACGUGGGAACAGCCUGUAGCUCUUGUUAUUGUGAGGUAAGGAUGAUGAUGAUGAUGAUGAUGAUUAUUAGUGAGAUAAGGUUUCCCUAUGUAGUCUCAUUGGCUAGUUGUUUAAUACAUAGACCAGCCUGGACUUCUGAGAUCAUCUUGCCUCUUGCCUCAAGUGCUGGGAUUCAAGGCGUGACCCACCAUCCCCAACCACAGACUCUAUCCCUGAUUAGGUGAGCUGAUGGGAAUUUGCAGAGACCUUGAAAAAGAAAAUCAGACUGUUUUAUUGUCAUUAUCAACAGCCCGUAGUUUGGAAGGGAUGCUGAUGCUGACACAACACCCUCCAACAAGCAAAUUAGACUCUCAAGUAGUUCAAUGACAUGAUGCUGAAUAAGUUAGGAUGCUGCUGCUGCUGCUGCUGGAGGCUCGAGGCUCACACUCACUUCAUGUUCUUCACAAAGUCCUCGCCUUUCUUGAUGGAGGCUUUCAGCUCAGGGAUGGCCUCGGCAAUCAUUUUCUCCUCAAAAGGAGUGAUUUUGCCAAUGCCUAGGUUCUUCUCCAGGCCUUUUUUC